AAGUCGUAACAAGGUUGCCGUAGGUGAACCUGCGGCAGGAUCAUUAAUGAUUUCAAACCUUAAAAACAUCGUCCUGUAUUGGGCUGCUUCUCGAGAGUCUGCUUCGGCAGUCUCGAUCGAGUGAGCUAAACAUACAUACACAAACUUUGUUUUCACAUGACUCGACACACGAAUUAUUAGUGUCGCCGUAAAAAAACUUGCCGAUCGGUGGAUCACUCGGCUGGUGGA
rnacentral:misc_RNA from 1 species